CCCCACCUCCAAUGAUGGGGAUUACAUUUCAGCAUGAGAUUUGGGGAGGAGAAUCAUCCGAACUAUAUCAGAAGUGAAGUAUUGAGAGUGGUACGAGUACAGAAAGAAGAAACAGAUCCCUGAGUUGGAGCUGAAGAAGACAGCAACCCAGACAAUGUCAACAAGCACAAGCAAAAACAGCAACAACAACACCACCAACAAAAGUCUGCCAUCUUUAGCCAAAGCACCAGAAAAGGCCAAGGAAGAAACACAAUUUUGGACAACACCUACCUACUCCAGCUGAACAUCACAGAAAAAACUGUGGCUUCACCUCCACUCAUGCCAGCAAAGCCCAAAUUGGGAGCCUAGAUUUCCACCCUCACCAGGCUGUAAUAAGGGAUUCCAAUUCCUCGACUGGGGUGGUGUCAGAGAAGGUCAAGUAGGCACAAGGGACUUUUAUCCCUGCCGGAUAGUAAAGAGCUCCCCUACCCUGCAGUGUGAGGGGAGACCAGGUGAAGUGACCGAAUGUGUUGGUGGAACAGAUGUGGGGAAGAAUCAAAGGUGACUCCUAGGUUUUGGCUUCAUCAGCUGUGUGAAUGGAGGGGCUAUUCACUGAACAGAUUGGACUGGGGAAGAAAUAGUUUGGAAGAGGAGGAAAAAUACAUUGGUAGUCUGUGGAGGAGACAGAAAGUCAACAUCAUCAAGUUGAACUUGAAAUUAAAAUGGACUUGAACACUUA